rnacentral:rRNA from 1 species
UACAGAGGGUGCGAGCGUUGUCCGGAAUCACUGGGCGUAAAGGGCGCGUAGGCGGCCUGAUAAGUAGGGGGUGAAAUCCUGUGGCUUAACUGCAGGGCUGCCUCCUAGACUGUUAGGCUCGAGCACGGUAGAGGCAGAUGGAAUUCCCGGUGUAGCGGUGGAAUGCGUAGAGAUCGGGAAGAACAUCGGUGGCGAAGGCGGUCUGCUGGGCCGUUGUUGACGCUGAGGCGCGACAGCGUGGGGAGCAAACAGG